AGUUUGAUCCUGGCUCAGGAUGAACGCUCCUAGCGUGCCUAACACAUGCAAGUCGAGCGAAGCAAUUAAGAGGAAGUUUUCGGAUGGAAUGUUAAUUGACUGAGCGGCGGACGGGUGAGUAACGCGUGGGUAACCUGCCCCAUACCGGGGGAUACCAGCCGGAAACGGCUGCUAAUACCGCAUAAGCGCACAGCUUUGCAUGAAGCAGUGUGAAAAACUCCGGUGGUAUGGGAUGGACCCGCGUCCGAUUAGCCAGUUGGCGGGGUAGAGGCUCACCAAAGCGACGAUCGGUAGCCGGCCUGAGAGGGCGGACGGCCACAUUGGGACUGAGACACGGCCCAAACUCCUACGGGAGGCAGCAGUGGGGAAUAUUGCACAAUGGGGGGAACCCUGAUGCAGCGACGCCGCGUGAGUGAAGAAGUCAUUCGUGAUGUAAAGCUCUAUCAGCAGGGAAGAAAAUGACGGUACCUGACUAAGAAGCCCCGGCUAACUACGUGCCAGCAGCCGCGGUAAUACGUAGGGGGCAAGCGUUAUCCGGAUUUACUGGGUGUAAAGGGAGCGUAGACGGCAGCGCAAGUCCGAAGUGAAAGCCCGGGGCCCAACCCCGGGACUGCUUUGGAAACUGUGAAGCUGGAGUGCGGGAGGGGCAGGCGGAAUUCCUGGUGUAGCGGUGAAAUGCGUAGAUAUCAGGAGGAACACCGGCGGCGAAGGCGGCCUGCUGGACCGUAACUGACGUUGAGGCUCGAAAGCGUGGGGAGCAAACAGGAUUAGAUACCCUGGUAGUCCACGCGGUAAACGAUGAUUACUAGGUGUCGGGGGGCAGAGCCCUUCGGUGCCGCCGCAAACGCAGUAAGUAAUCCACCUGGGGAGUACGUUCGCAAGAAUGAAACUCAAAGGAAUUGACGGGGACCCGCACAAGCGGUGGAGCAUGUGGCUUAAUUCGAUGAUACGCGAGGAACCUUACCCGGGCUCAAACGACUCAGGAAUAUAUUGGAAACGAUGUAGCCAGCAAUGGUCUGAGUCGAGGUGCUGCAUGGUUGUCGUCAGCUCGUGCCGUGAGGUGUCGGCUUAAGUGCCAUAACGAGCGCAACCCCUACCGCCAGUUGCCAACGGGUAAAGCCGGGAACUCUGGCGGGACUGCCGGCGCAAGCUGCGAGGAAGGCGGGGAUGACGUCAAAUCAGCACGGCCCUUACGUCCGGGGCGACACACGUGUUACAAUGGCAGGUACAGCGGGAAGCCACCUGGUGACAGGGAGCGGAACCCGAAAGCCUGUCUCAGUUCGGAUUGGAGUCUGCAACUCGACUCCAUGAAGCUGGAUUCGCUAGUAAUCGCGCAUCAGCCAUGGCGCGGUGAAUACGUUCCCGGGCCUUGCACACACCGCCCGUCA
rnacentral:rRNA from 1 species